rnacentral:rRNA from 1 species
CUCGUAGGCGGUUCAACAAGUCGGUCGUGAAAGCCCGGGGCUCAACCCCGGGAUGCCGGUCGAAACUGUUGUGACUUGAGUUCGGUAGAGGUGAGUGGAAUUCUCGGUGUAGCGGUGGAAUGCGCAGAUAUCGAGAGGAACACCCGUAGCGAAGGCGGCUCACUGGGCCGAUACUGACGCUGAGGAGCGAAAGCAUGGGGAGCAAACA